UUCUGUAUAAAGACACACCUACCUAGCC
rnacentral:piRNA from 1 species